rnacentral:rRNA from 1 species
CACGUAGGAGACAAGCGUUAUUCGGAUUUACUGGGCGUAAAGCGCGUGCAGGCGGUUUCGCAAGUUGGAUGUGAAAGCUCCCGGCUUAACUGGGAGAGGUCGUUCAAAACUACGGAACUAGAGAGUGGUAGAGGAAGGCGGAAUUCCGGGUGUAGUGGUGAAAUGCGUAGAUAUCCGGAGGAACACCAGUGGCGAAAGCGGCCUUCUGGACCAAUUCUGACGCUCAGACGCGAAAGCUAGGGGAGCGAACGGGAUUAGAGACCCCGGUAGUCCUAGCUGUAAACGAUGUAGACUUGGCGUUGGUGGGGUAAAAUCCAUCAGUGCCGAAGCAAACGCGAUAAGUCUACCGCCUGGGGACUACGGCCGCAAGGUUAAA